rnacentral:lncRNA from 1 species
GUGGGGAUUCCCGCGGCCCUGGCCACUACCCGGCCUGCCCCGCGGCAAGAUGGAGACCUGAACGCAGCUGGCAGCGGCGGAAACAGAAGAUUCAGGUGCCCCAGGGACUGGAAGAAAUUACAUUGCCUACUUGGAAAGAAGAAGAGAUAGCGACUUGCCCCCGCCCAACCCCAGAGCGGCUCCGGAGUUGGGCUGCUCACAAACCAAGCUGUCUGUUUAUAUGGAGUGCCUGGAGGGCGUCUGCCAUGAGUCUGUCGCUAACUGCACUAACCAGGAGAGCUGGCUGGUUGGGGAGAAGACACUAACCCUGUGAGUCUGACCUCGGCC